rnacentral:rRNA from 1 species
AUAAACGCUGGCGGCGUGCCUAACACAUGCAAGUCGAGCGAGAAAGCCUUCGGGCUUAGUAAAGCGGCGGACGGGUGAGUAACGCGUGGGAAUCUGCCUUUCAGUGAGGAAUACCCUCGAGAAAUCGAGGUUAAUACUGCAUACGUCUUGUAAAAGAGAAAGAUGGCCUCUUUGCUGUCGCUGAAAGAUGAGCCUGCGUACUAUUAGCUAGUUGGUGGGG